rnacentral:rRNA from 1 species
UACGUAGGUGGCGAGCGUUGUCCGGAAUGACUGGGCGUAAAGGGAGCGUAGGUUGCAAUUUAAGUUAGGUGUGAAAGCCCAUGGCUCAACCAUGGAAGUGCACUUAAAACUGGAUAGCUAGAGUACAGGAGGGGUAAGCGGAAUUCCUAGUGUAGCGGUGAAAUGCGUAGAUAUUAGGAAGAACACCGGAGGCGAAGGCGGCUUACUGGACUGCAACUGACACUGAGGCUCGAAAGCGUGGGGAGCAAACAGG